rnacentral:rRNA from 1 species
GAUGAACGCUGGCGGCGUGCUUAACACAUGCAAGUCGAACGGAAAGGCCCAAGCUUGCUUGGGUACUCGAGUGGCGAACGGGUGAGUAACACGUGGGUGAUCUGCCCUGCACUUCGGGAUAAGCCUGGGAAACUGGGUCUAAUACCGGAUAGGACCACUUCUUGGAUGUUGUGGUGGAAAGUUUUUUCGGUGUGGGAUGAGCUCGCGGCCUAUCAGCUUGUUGGUGGGGUAAUGGCCUACCAAGGCGUCGACGGGUAGCCGGCCUGAGAGGGUGUACGGCCACAUUGGGACUGAGAUACGGCCCAGACUCCUACGGGAGGCAGCAGUGGGGAAUAUUGCACAAUGGGCGCAAGCCUGAUGCAGCGACGCCGCGUGGAGAUGACGGCCUUCGGGUUGUAAACUCCUUUCGCUAGGGACGAAGCGUUUUGUGACGGUACCUGGAGAAGAAGCACCGGCUAACUACGUG